CUCUAACAGCAUACAGUAAAUCCCCCCAAGAACGAGACAAGGCUCCGUUUUGAGGGUCAAGCAGUGAACAGUCAGAGCUGCGGGUUUAUUGUGCUUAUGUACACAUUCUUACACAUUAGUACCUCCCACAGGGUUUUGGAACACAACCAAUAAACACAUACAAUACACUCAGACACUCCCACACAAAAUCCUCCCCUCUGCCUGUGAUACAAUUACCUUACACAAUAGGUUUAUGUAAUUAUAACAAGCAGAGAAAUACAGUUUUACCACAUUAUUCAUAACUUGAAAAGUAUGCAUCACAUUCACAUAAAACUUACAUUUUCAGAAUCAAAAAAAGAACUCAAAAUACAAACAUAUGUCAAAAUCAUCCAAAUUGGUCCAUUGGUUCAAAAGAUAGAUCGAAGUCCUUUGUGAUCAAAUUAAGCAUGGGUUUUCUGCCCAAAACCAGUUCCACAG